CUUUGACUCACUUGCUAGAUAGGAAACCUAGACUUUGAACUCUUGUGGCCAUAUUUCCCAAUUGAACAGGACCCAGAGAUGCAGGCCCGCGUUUCCACCAAGGUCAAUGCUGAGAAGACUGCAAUGAGAUCUGAGGAUCCCGUACCAAGCAGCAGAGAUGGAAGAGGAGUUUGGAUGAUGUCCCAACCCAAGCAGCACAAAGAGAAAGCUGACUGUAUAAAGUGCAAAGAGGAUAAGUGUCCGUGGUGGUGACUACUGGAUGGUAGGAGGUUGUUUCACUGGCAGACUCAAUCUACAACUUCUUUUUCUGCACCGACU
rnacentral:lncRNA from 1 species